GGUAUAACCCGACGUGGUUAUCGGUGGUUGUUGGGGGUGGUUGGCGGUGGUUGGUGGUGGUCGGAGGUAGACGAGGUGAGGGACGAAGAAGACGAGAACAAUAUGGACGAGGAGGGCGAAGAUUAGUGCUCGGUAUAACCCGAGGUGGUUCGAGGUGGUUGUUGGAGGUGGUUGGCGGUGGUUGGAGGUGGUUGCAGCUGAUCAGGGAGGAGGACGAAGAAGACGAGGAGAACGAGGAUUUCUACAUGGUGUAAGCCGAGGUGGUUAUCGGUG
rnacentral:lncRNA from 1 species